rnacentral:rRNA from 1 species
GUGGGGAAUCUUGCGCAAUGGGCGAAAGCCUGAUCCAGCCAUGCCGCGUGAACGAUGAAGGCCUUCGGGUUGUAAAGUUCUUUAGCCGAUGAUUAUAAUGACUGUAGUCGGAAAAUAAGCCCCGGCUAACUUCGUGCCAGCAGCCGCGGUAAUACGAAGGGGGCGAGCGUUAUUCGGAAUCACUGGGCGUAAAGCGUGCGUAGGCGGUUUUGUAAGUUAGGAGUGAAAGCCCAGGGCUCAACCUUGGAAUUGCUCUUAAAACUGCAAGGCUCGAAGCUCGGAGAGGAGAGCGGAAUUUCCAGUGUAGCAGUGAAAUGCGUAGAUAUUGGAAGGAACACCAGUGGCGUAAGCGGCUAUCUGGACGAGUAUUGACGCUGAGGCACGAAAGCGUGGGGAUCAAACAGGAUUAGAAACCCUGGUAGUCC